rnacentral:rRNA from 1 species
GCGUUAAUCGGAACUCCUGGGCGUAAAGCGCACGCAGGCGGUCUGUCAAGUCGGAUGUGAAAUCCCCGGGUUCAACCUGGGAACUGCAUUCGAAACUGGCAGGCUAGAGUCUUGUAGAGGGGGGUAGAUUUCCAGGUGUAGCGGUGAAAUGCGUAGAGAUCUGGAGGAAUACCGGUGGCGAAGGCGGCCCCCUGGACAAAGACUGACGCUCAGGUGCGAAAGCGUGGGGAGCAAACAGGAUUAGAUACCCUGGUAGUCCACGCCGUAAACGAUGUCGAUUUGGAGGUUGUGCCCUUGAGGCGUGGCUUCCGGAGCUAACGCGUUAAAUCGACCGCCUGGGGAGUACGGCCGCAAGGUUAAAACUCAAAUGAAUUGACGGGGGCCCGCACAAGCGGUGGAGCAUGUGGUUUAAUUCGAUGCAACGCGAAGAACCUUACCUGGUCUUGACAUCCACAGAACUUUCCAGAGAUGGAUUGGUGCCUUCGGGAACUGUGAGACAGGUGCUGCAUGGCUGUCGUCAGCUCGUGUUGUGAAAUGUUGGGUUAAGUCCCGCAACGAGCGCAACCCUUAUCCUUUGUUGCCAGCGGUUAGGCCGGGAACUCAAAGGAGACUGCCAGUGAUAAACUGGAGGAAGGUGGGGAUGACGUCAAGUCAUCAUGGCCCUUACGACCAGGGCUACACACGUGCUACAAUGGCAUAUACAAAGAGAAGCGACCUCGCGAGAGCAAGCGGACCUCAUAAAGUAUGUCGUAGUCCGGAUUGGAGUCUGCAACUCGACUCCAUGAAGUCGGAAUCGCUAGUAAUCGUAGAUCAGAAUGCUACGGUGAAUACGUUCCCGGGCCUUGUACACACCGCCCGUCAAACCAUGGGAGUGGGUUGCAAAAGAAGUAGGUAGCUUAACCUUCGGGAGGGCGCUUACCACUUUGGAUUCAGGGCC